AUACGGAGGAUCCGAGCGUUAUCCGGAUUUAUUGGGUUUAAAGGGUGCGCAGGCGGCCAUUUAAGUCAGCGGUUAAAUCGUGGGGCUCAACCCCGUCUCGCGUCGCGAACUGCGUCCCUUGGUUGCGGGAAGGGGAGGCGGAACCGGGGGUGUAGCGGUGAAAUGCAUAGAUAUCACGAAGAACUCCGAUCGCGAAGGCAGCCUUCCGGCCCGUCAACGACGCUCAUGCUCGAAGGUGCGGGUAUCAAACAGGAUUAGAUACCCUGGUAGUCCGCACAGUAAACGAUGGACACCCGCGGUUUGGCCUGUAUGGCUGAACCGCCAAGCGAAAGCGUUAAGUGUCCCACCUGGGGAGUACGCCGGCAACGGUGAAACUCAAAGGAAUUGGCGGGG
rnacentral:rRNA from 1 species